CUUGAUGCGACUAGCAAUGAGCCCUGGGGUCCCCAUGGAUCACUUCUUGCAGAUAUUGCUCAAGCUUCAAGAAACUCGCUUCAACUGUUUUGGAUUAUUUAGUAGCCAAUGUGUCUGAACGUGUCAUGGAUGAAAUAAGGGAACAUGCAUGCCAAAUAUCUACGUUGUCUGAUUUUCAAUACAUCGACUCUAGUGGAAAAGAUCAGGGGAGCAAUGUUAGAAAGAAAUCUCAGAGUCUUGUUGUUCUUGUAAAUGAUAAGGAGAGGAUACAAGAAGUCCACCAAAAGGCAGCUACGUACCAACCGGGAUAAGUAAGUCUACUUCAUCUGCACUACAUUCAUAUGUGUUCCUUGUACAUUGGUGAUAUA